rnacentral:lncRNA from 1 species
UUGAACUAUGAUGAAAUUUGCUACGACACACUCCAACUUCUUCACGGGGUCCUAUUACCCCCGAACUAAAUUUUAGUGUAUUUUUGUCAAUCUAUUUAGCUGACGUGACACCUUUUGUCAACCUUUUUAGCUGAUUGACACCUUUGAUGUGGGUUCUAUUUUAUGUAAUAAAGGUGCCACUUCAGCACAAAAGGAUGACCAAAAUGCGCUAAAAUUGAGUUCGGGGGUAAUAAGACCCCUGUGAAAUUGAAGCGUGUCGUAACGACUUUGACCAUAGUUCGAGCAGUACUGGAUGCUUAUCUCUAAAAAAUUUGAAGAAUAAGAUAGUAGGAGAGUAAUAAUAAUAAUAAGGAAAAUUAGACAACACUUGACUACCUACUUAUCUUCUACCUAAUCCUCGACCUCCAUAUCCAUGUAUCUAGAGUCAUGUCCUCGGUAUGUUGCACGUGUGCCAUAUUAUACCUGUAAAUGAAGUAGUAGAAUUAUAUUUCAUAUUUUUUUUCUUAUUGUUGUGCAGAAUCUGAAUACAGAACUUGAAAACUGCAAAUGUGGAUGUAAGAAAUCAAGUCAAUAACAAAAUGGGAGGAAGCACUUUAGCUGAAGAUUGACUUAAAGAGGAUUUUUUUUAUCAUCAUUUCUUCUUAGAAACACAAAUUUGUACAUAAGGAAGUAAAUUAUAUGUUUGUUUUGGAUUAUUUCUAGUUUCUUUUUUUCCCUCUUAACAUUUACAUUUUUAAUCCAGUUUUGAGUUUAUUUUGCUUGAAGAUCAUAAAGCUAAUUGAUGAUGUUGUACAACCACUUCUCUAUUUCAUUUUCUAUGUAAAACAUAAGUGAGUCAGACAUUUUUGUUGCUUGUUACAAUUUGAAAAAAAGAUGACCCUAAUCUACUCCUGGUGCAUCAGUUCAUUUUUAAGAACUAUCAUAUGACUUAAACCUUAACUUUGUAGUAAAAGAUUUAUCCAUAGAGGAGUACAAAGAAGAAAUCAGAGUUUCUUGAAAUUUUCGAAUACUGACGAAUAAUAUGGAGAUAAGCAUCCAAUACCCCCUCGAACUAUGAGCAAAAUUGCUAUGACGCACUCCACUUUCACAGUGGUCCUAUUACCCCUUAACUCAAUUUUCACGUAUUUUCGUCAUCCUUAUCUGCUGACAUGACAACUUUAUUACAUAAAAUGUGGCCCACGCCAAAGGUGCCACAUCAGCAAAAAAAGUUGACUAAAGGUGCCACGUCAGCACAAAAGGGUGACAAAAAUACACUAAAAUUGAGCUCAAGGGUAAUAGAAACCCGUGAAGUUGGAGUGUGUCGUAGCAAAUUUGGUCAUAGUUCAGGGGCGUACUAGAUGCUUUACUCAAUAAUAUAUUAUAAUAUCGCCAGCAAGGGCAUGAUUGAAUGGUUGGGAGGUGUGUUUCCCGUGCGAGAGAUCUGGGAUCAAAUCCACUCUCCAUUUGCCGCUCAGUCAUGAGCUCGUCGCAUGAGGCUUGCCUAAUGUGCUUUACAUCUCUCGUGUGACUUGCGAGCUAUUGCGCAGUGAGCAGGUUACCACAGAAUGCUCACUGAAGAGCAGACGAUGUGACAGAGGUUGUGGGUUUCCCUAAGGGUUUCCAUAUAAAACAUAUAUAUGUAAGCAUAGGAAUGAAGCAGUAUCAUUAAUAAAAUAAACCAGUAAUUAUUGUUUACCAACUUAAAUUAAUAGAUUAAUGAUCAAAUAAGUCAGAGCUGAUACAAUACACAUUACAGUCUCUUUGUGCCAUUGACAAUUCUGUUUAUUGUUUGAUCUCCUCACCCAUCUCUCUGUACUACACAACACCUACCAGAUAGGAUUCGAUCCUACGACCAAUCGAUUAACAACCAUAGAUUCGAUCAGUUAAGAUUGAGGUGAGUUUUGUUGGUUCAUAUAAUAUAUUUUCAUACUUCCAAGAAACUUUUGUCCGCUGAAUAUGCUGAAUAUAUGUUCUAUCUGUUUCAAUUUAUUUAUCUUACUUUCCUUUUAGCCCGUUUGAGUUUUUAUUUUAGUGACAAGGGGGUUGCUCGGAUGGUAAGCACCCUCCACCUCCAAUCUUGAGGUUGUGAGUUUGAGCCACCAAUGGAUAAAAUGGGUGGGAGCUCCUAAAGAGGAGUUAAAAAAGCCUCUUUUCCUUUUUGGCAACAGUUUAAUUUCAACUUUCCACGUGACAUGUUUAAGACCACACGAUUAAAGGAUAUUUUGAUAUAUUUUACAUGUCUUUAGUUUAUGACCACAAAAAUUCAAAAUUUUUUUAAACUCCAUUGAGGGAGUAAUAUGUAUCUUGCUGGAGCAUGUGAAUUUGGGAGCGAAGUUCUUCCUUAUGUUGAGUUCCCACAUCGAUUCUUUGGGGAGAGAUGAUCUCUUUAUAUGGUCUUUAGGCGAAUCCUUACCUUUUGUACUAGCUUUUAGGAUUAGCUUAGACGACCUAAGGUCCAUUUUCUUAUUCUGGUAUGUCAAAGUCAGGCUCAUCCUAAUUCUUCGUUGAUGUCAGGCCCCAUAUACAUGCGUAAGUUGGAAAGCCGUUUGAGGUUGAGUUAAAUAUAUGCAUUGAAUCGUAAGUAUUCUAAAAAACAGAAGUUAGUUUUUUUUUGAGAAGGUAACAAACAUAAGUUAGUUUGUUAAGGGGCAACCCAUUUAUUGGUUACGAAUCUAUAUUCAAAAUAAAUGAGGUUUCAAAGAUACUUAUAUGGUGCUGAGAUAAAUGGUUAUGUCGACCAUGAGAAGCUGGAAGGUCUGGAGACCCGAAUUAAAUUUCUGGCUGACAAUGUCGGACAGUUUGUCUUGUCAUUUGGCGUAAGGAGGAUAGAGUUAAUAUCAAGAGUAAGCCUCCUCAUCUACUAUGCUUGGUUGUGCUAGUGGAGCUGGAAAUGAAGAAGAUUUUUCUAUGUGAACUUAAGGCCUCAAAGUUUACUCAAUCAAGGACUUUCAACGACAAGAAACUACCAAAAGGAUUUUCACAUCAUCUCCAUAGUCUGCUCGUAGAACUUAGAAAUAAAGAUCUUGACAACUUUCCUAAUAAUGUCUCUACUCGAAAAUUUCAUGUGGCAAUAGAGUUCUUGUUGUUUUUUCUCGGUGAUGUGCCGAAUCAUGUUAUUGAUGGCAAGAGGUUGAAUGAACUCUUAGCAAAGAUUGGAGUUCUUGUGGGCGACAUACUUUAUGUAAUUCAAAUGCAUCUACUUGCAGAUGAGGCUAGCAAGAUUGAACUUAGCACGAUAAAGAUAAUGGAGAAAAUUGAAGAUCUAAAGGCACAAGUGGAGGAGAGGUACUAUCAAUUCUUUGUAUACAGUCCAUCUCAGUUUCCCACAGCUGGUGGCUUGAGCUUUGUGGAUUCUCUUUUAAGGAAAUUGAAUGAGAUGUCGAAAUCUGAAACACGUUUAGAUUUCAUGAUGAAGCCUCAUAUAGUUAUAUCAGAGAGAGAGCUCUCAUCUCUAAUAUCUGUUUUCGGAGAUGUCGCAAAGGUGCAGUAUGACCAUGACAUUCUUAAAGAUCUUCUGGAGCGUACUAUCAAUUUGGCAUAUGAAGCUGAAGUUGCUAUUGACUUUAUUUUUGUUCAAUAUAAUGCUCUUUGGUAUUCUUUUUGCUCACUUCCUGCAAUCAUAAACGAGAUCAAGCAUAUUCGUGCUGAGGUGACCAAGAUGCGGUCGGAGAACCUUGCUCGUAAACCCUACUUUGUGGUUGAGCCAUCUAAACAUCUCCCAACUCAACAAAGCAAUCUUAUGAGUGAUGAGGAGAUAGUUGGUUUUGAGGAUGACACAGAAAUAAUAAUUCAGUACCUAAUUCGAGGAACAGAUGACCUAGAUGUCAUCCCAAUUGUUGGGAUGGGGGGACAAGGUAAAACAACUUGCGCUAAAAAGUUGUACAACGAUGACAUCAUUGUUUCUCACUUUGACGUUCGAGCAUGGUGCACCAUUUCCCAAUCAUAUAAUUGGAGAGAGCUAUUACAAGAGAUUUUCAGUCAAAUAACCGGUUCCAAGGACAAGGGAGAUAAGGAUGACAUCCUUGCUGAUGAGGUGAGGAAGAUCCUAAUGGGGAAGAGAUAUCUCAUCGUCUUGGAAGAUAUCUGGGAUAGUAAAGCAUGGGAUGACUUAAGCCUUUGUUUCCCUGAUGUUGGAAAUCGAAGCAGAAUUUUAGUAACCGCUCGACUUGAGAAAGUAGGUGAACAUGUCAAGCACUACACUUUAAACCUUGAUAGUAAAUGCGUUUUAAACUCCUUUGCUGCAAGUCUAGCUUUAAACCUUUCAACCUCACUUGAGGCCUUAUACUUCACUUUAUAUAUCCACCUGCAACCAAUAGCCUUCUUUCCUUUAGGUAGAGCAACAAUCUCCCAAGUAUGAUUGGAAUUCAAGGCUUAUACUUUAUUUUUCAUUGCUUCCACCCAUUUAGGAUCUUUACAGGCCUCUGAGUAGCUUGUAGGUUCAGUAAAACAUGAAGUUUUUAGCACAAUAGGAUGGGGAGAGUUUAUAAUAUGCCACAUGAUUAGCAAGAGCAUGAGGUACUUUCUUUGUGUUUUUGGAAAUAAAGUUAUUCAUCCAUACUGGUGGCUUUCUACCUCUAGUUGAUCUUCCUUGAUCUUGAUAUGCAGAAGGUUGAGUUACUAUUUGUGCAGGGGUAGGAACAACCUGCAGUUGUUGCUCUUGUUGAUUAACCCCUUGACUCCUAGUUGAUAUUCUUUGAUAUAAGUUAGUUAUGGACGUAUGGACUGUGUAGGAGUAAGAACACCUUGCAAUUGUUGCUCAUGUUGAUCAACUGAAUUAGGAACCCCUUGAGGUGACAUAGUUACUAUAAUCUGCAGAGGUGUCACAACAUCACUUACUACUGGAUAUUGAUUUUCUAAAGGAAAUAAAUGAUAAAGUGACUGAGGUUGCCUGAGCUUGUUAAAGGGAAAUUUAUCUUCCUUAAAGGACACAUCUCUACACAUUGAGAAGAUGUUAGAAGACAUAUCAUACACCACAUAUCCCUUCUGAGUGCUAGAGGACCCCAUCAUGACACAUGCCCUUUCUCUAGACAUGAUCUUAUCAUGUUCAUUCAACAUUUUGUCAUAGCAAAGACACAUAGUCUUAGAUGAUCACAGUUUGGCUGUUUACCAUAUAGCUUCUCAUAAGGAGUUAAAAAAUGAAUGACUGAACUAGGAAAUCUAUUGAUGCUAUAUACUGCAGUUAGGACACAAUAACCCCAGAAUCUUAUUGGAACUUUAGCUUGAAACCUGAUAGCUCAUCACCUCUAGGACGUGUCUAUGUUUUCUCUCAGCAACACCAUUUUGCUGAGGAGAAUAUGCACAUGUAGUUUGAUGAAUUAUACCAUUAUCUUGGAACAACCUUUGACAUAAUGAACUGACAAACUCAGUACCAUUAUAGAGACAGCUAGGUAAAGGCUGCAUUCCCCAUCCGACUUAAUAGAGCCAGCUGAUUAUCAGAAACCAGUAGUUCCUGCAUUUUUAGUGCAACAUUUCUGUAGAGACUUAGAAUGAGAGCAUUGACCUGCAUACUGAUCACAACCACCUUGAUCCACUAGAUAUUCAUGAGAAACCAAAGACACAUUAUAUGCUGUGUUAGUUCCUUCAUGCUUGAACUUCUUCUUAGCCUUAUAAUCCCAAGGAUAGCCAAUUAACUUCCAGAAGUUUUCUUUAGUAUGCCCCUUGAGUUUGCACAAAUCACACUACAGGGUAAAAUUUUUCUUGAACUUCUGAUUUUGACUUCCACCUAAUCCAUUUCUUGAAUACGUGGCUAUCUCAAGACUCUUACUAGUAACUGCAGUAUUCAUUCCCAAAAUCCUUGCCUGAGUUGCAACAGAUUUGUGACUUUCAUCACUAAUUAUCAUUGCAUAAGCUUGGUUGACAUUUGGUAGAGGGGUCAUAAGCAAGAUUUGACUUCUUGCUUGUGUAUAGGACUCAUUCAGACACAUAAGACAAUGAAAUAGUUUCAGUUUUUGCAGAUGUAAUACACACUCCUUUGACUUUUCACUUUCACACCCAAGUGCAGGCACAAUAGCCUCAAAUUCUUCCCACAAAUGUUUUUGAGUAGUAAACAGAAACUGAAGCAGUUCCUUGAGACAAUGUAGCAAUCUCUUUAUGCUAAUUAAAUGUUCUACUCUCUGAUACCAUGUAAUUAAGCAAGAUAGCAGUAAGCUUCUUGCAUAUGAAGAAGAGAAAAGAAGAAGCUAAGAGAGAAGGAUCAUUAGAGAUAGAAGAAUAGACUUGUAUUCAUUAUUAUGAUUCAAUGUACACUUUUCUUCUAUAUAUAAACUUGUUUAUAGUCUAACCAACUAACUAAGUAGCCGUAAACAGUCCAUAUAACUAACAGCUAAGACAGUUAUAACAGAAAACUGGAAUUUAGUCUACGCUGUUUCUACUUUGUUCUGCUACAUUCUUUAUAUAUUCAACAAUACUGAAAGACAAAAAAGAAAAAUGUUGCUCAUAAUUAAAGAAACUAAUAUUCCAAAAUUGGUGAACUUGCAGGAAUUUUCUACUUUAUCAACAGAAGAUGGCCCAAAAAGAUAUAGAGGAUAUGUUAGAUCAUCUAAGAAGCAUCAAGAGUGGAGGCGAUCUGAAUAGCGACAAGAUUAAUCAAAUUGAGACACUUGAAAUGGAGCUAAGAUUUUUGAGAACAUUUACCAAGUACAAUCAUGUUCUUUUACCUGAUUCUUUAGUCGGAAUCACAAAGAAGGCCAAAUUGGUUGUCGAAAUGCUUCACACAGUUUUUGAUGGAAUGCCCGUUGAAUGCAAAGCUAACCUUAAUCUUGAAAGGCUAGUGUCACAUUUGAUGGAAUUCGUUGAGGAUAAUACCAGUUCAAGGUUCAAUUAUGAGCUGAAUGAUUCAGAUCUGUCAGAAUAUUUGGAGUUCCUCAACAUGAGUCUCAAUGAUUCACCGAGGUAUCUUGACAAAUCUGACCCUCUUUUCAGGAAAGGAAAAGUUGGAUUUUGGAAGCAACUGAAAUUCAUUCACCAGAAAAUGAAGUUUCUGAGAUACUUUUAUGACACAGAGAUGAAUGGUUGUGUUGACCAUGAGAAAUUAAAAGGUUUGCGGACCCGAAUUCAAUUCAUGGCUGACAAAGUGGGACAGUUCUGUUUAGCUCUUCGGCUUCCUGAGGAUGUAGAUGAUAAUAUCGAGAGUAAGCCUCCUUUUCUACUAUGCCUGGUUGUGCUAGUGGAGCUGGAAAUGAAGAACAUUUUUCUUAGUGAACUGAAGACUUCAAAGCUUCCUCAAUCAAAAAUAUUCGAGUGCAUGGUAUUACCACCAGGAUUUUCACAUCAUCUCUACAAUUUGCUCAUGUAUCUCAGAAAACAAAAGCUUAAGGGCUUCCAUUCUGAUGUGUCUGCUCAAAACAUCGAUGUGGCGAUCGAGUUUUUGCUGCUUUUUCUUGGUGAUGAGUCAGAUCAUGUUAUUCAUGGUAUGAUGAUGAAUGAGGUCUUGGAAAAGGCAGGAUCUCUUGUGGGUGAUAUUCUAUGUGCAAUCCAAAGGCUUAGUCCAAGCACUAUAAUCAAAGAUGAUGCUAGCGAGAUAAAUCUUUGGUCGAUACAGAUAUCUGAGAAAGCAGAAAAUCUAAAGGCACAAUUGGAGGAGUACUACAAAUCCUUAACAUUCAUUCCAUCUCAGUUUCCCACAGCUGGUGGAUUGAGCUUUCUGGAUUCUCUAUUGAGGAAAUUGAAUGAGAUGUCGAGAUCUGAAUCAGGUUUAGAUUUCAUGAUGAAGCCUCAUAUAGUUAUAUUAGAGACAGAGCUCUUAUAUUUGACAUCCAUUUUCAAAGAUGUUGUGAAGGUGCACCAUGAAGAUGAAAUUCUCAAAGAUCUUAAGAGGCGUACUAUCAAUUUGGCAUAUGAAGCUGAGGUAGCCAUUGACUGUAUUCUUUCUCGAUAUAAUGCUCUUUUGCAUGUUUUUUGCUCACUUCCAACAAUCUUAAAUGAGAUCAAGAUUAUUAGUGUGGAGGUGAAAGGCAAGUGGUCAGAUAACCUUGCUCUUAAGCCAUGCUCUAUGGUUGAGCCAUCCAAGAGUCAGCCAAUUCAACAUAGCGAUCUUAUAUAUGAUGAGGAAAUUGUGGGUUUCCAUAAUGACAUGAAAAGAAUAAUUCAGCAUCUAAUUCAAGGAGCAAAUGAGGUAGAUGUCGUCACAAUUGUAGGCAUGGGGGGACUAGGGAAAACAACUUGCGCUAGGAAGGUGUAUAGUAGUGAAAUCAUUGUUUCUAAUUUUGAUGUUCGAGCAUGGUGUAUCAUUUCCCAAACAUAUAACCGGAGAGAGCUAUUGCAAGAGAUUUUUAGUCAAGUUACCGGCUCAAAGGACAAGGGUGAUAAGGAUGACAUCCUUGCUGACGAGUUGAGGAGAAGCCUAAUGGGAAAGAGAUAUCUCAUUGUAUUGGAUGAUAUGUGGGAUGGUAUCGCAUGGGAUGACUUGAGACUUUGUUUCCCUGAUAGUGGAAACAGAAGCAGAAUUGUAGUAACAACUCGACUUGAGAAAGUGGGUGAACAUGUCAAGCGCUAUACUGAUCUUUAUUUUCUUCCAUUCCUCACACCAGAAGAGAGUUGCAGAUUGUUGCACAAAAAAGUGUUUCAAAAGGACGAUUGCCCGCCUGACCUACAAGAUGUGAGUCAAGCAGUGGCAAAAAGAUGCAAAGGCCUACCUCUAGUGAUAGUUUUGGUAGCUGGAAUUAUAAAAAAGAAGAAAAUGGAAGCCUCUUGGUGGCAUGAGGUUAAAAAGUCUCUAUUGUCCUGUCUCGGUGAUUCUGAAGGUUAUGGUCUAUCAACUAUGAAGUUAAGUUAUGAUAACUUACCUGAUUAUUUAAGACCUUGCCUUCUUUAUAUGGGGAUGUUUCCGGAAGAUGCCAGAAUUCCAGCGUCUAAACUGAUAAGUUUAUGGAUAGCGGAAGGCUUCGUGCAGAACAUUGAGUCUGGGAGGUUGGAAGAGGCAGCUGAAGAAUACUUGAUGGAUCUCAUUAGAGGUAAUGUGGUAAUGGUUUCAAGGACAAGAUAUAAUGGUAAAGUUAAAGACUGUCAGGUUCAUGACGUAGUGCUUCACUUUUGCUUGGAGAAGAGUAAAGAAGAAAAGUUUAUGCAACCAGUGAUGGGGAAUUCUAGUCACUUUCAACCUUCGGCAUGGAACGAAAGUCGAGUGAGCUUCAACUUCACUUAUGAUCUUUUCCAGUUUGCAUCUCCAGACUCCAAACCACGAAAUCCUUUUCACCAACACUUGAGGUCACUGAUUACGAACAAUCGAGGAAUAAUCUCUGAAUGGAAUCUCUUGAGACUUCUUAAGGUCUUGGAUUUGAGUUCCCUUAAUAUGAAUUAUUUUUCGUUAGUUAGACUGAAGCCACUAAUUCACCUGAAGUACCUUGCCAUUAGCGCAGAUGAAAUUGAUUUUCAUGCAGAACCUUAUCUGCCCCAUCUUGAAACUCUAAUUGUGAAGUAUGUCAUCAGGCGUUCGGUGUUACCAGCAAUUUUCUUGAAGUUUGAAAAAUUAAGGCAUGUUGAGAUUAGUGGUGCUGUUUUUGAUUUGGAAAACGAUAAGCUCAGGAACUUUGAAGAGUCCUCUAAAUUGGAAAACUUGAGGGUAUUAAGGAAACUAUCUUUUCGAAUUGAUCACGCUGAUAGUCUGGAUGUGUUAUUACGGAGGUUUCCUAAUCUUCAAGAACUCGACAUAUUUUUUUGGGACAAUGAAGAUUCUGCAGAGUUUUUUCUCAAAUUGGAGAGUCUUACCAAGCUUCAAACAUUUCGCCUUUCCUUUCAGUGGCCCCAAAUUGUAUCUGAGUUACACUUGCCUUCGAAUUUAAAGAAGUUGGUACUAGUAAGCACUCAAAUAGAAAGCACCAUUUCCGUCAUCAGGGAACUACCAUGUCUGGAGUGUCUUCAGUUAACGAGUUCGAAUUUUGCUCAAUCCAAAGAGUGGUGCCUUAGCGAUAUCACAUUCCAUAAGCUUAAGUUCUUAAAACUGAUGAGUUUAAGUAUCUCAAGGUGGGAUGCCUUGGAGGAAUCUUUUCCCCAGCUUGAAACACUUGUUUUUAAAGAGUGUUACAAGCUCGAGGAGAUCCCCACUAGCUUUGCAGAUAUUCCAACGCUGAAACAGAUAAAAUUGAUUAACUGCAUGAAUAAAUCUUUGGAGGCUUCAGCUGUGAAAAUUAAGGAAGAAGUCGUUGAUAUUGAAGGAUGUGACCGCAUCGACAUCACUAUCAGAGUAAGUAGAAACAAACACCUAUGUUCUAUUUUUGAAUUAUCUACUUGCAUCUAAUGUGCAAACAAUAGCUUCAAUACAGGAUAUGUGGGAAAAUCUAAAGUAGCUGUGAGUCAAGCACAUGCUUGUAACAAAGACACGGUAUCCUUUUUAGUUUUGUUUUUUUCUAUUAUCUUCUUGCUUUCUCGUAAUUUCUCCAUGUUGUUCCCAAACUAACUAGAAUGUGUUUGAAUUUGGCAAUUACAUAGACUACAGCAACACGGUCAGGGUGGACGGAGUUCUUUCUAAGCUAAUUGUUGUAGCCAGGCUGAAGUCUAUUGUGCAGAUUGCCGAAGCACUACAACUGAUUGAUAAGUUUGUAUUGAUUGAUCAACUAUUUUUUCUGUAUGCUAUAGAUGAUUGAAGACCUAUAUAUAUCAGAUCAGCUUUCGCUGUGAUUUCUUUCUUCCGUGUAUAAACUUCCAUCCUUUCGUAUUCAGCUUUAUAAUUUUAGAACCAGCAGACAAAUCAUUCUUUCAUUUUUGUUUCUAUAGUUUUGGUGGUUGUCGUACCCUAUGUUGCUCGGACUCUUCAAAAAUGUCAGCAAGUGAGUGUCGGAUUUUCCAAAAGUAGUGUAUUUUUGGAGAAUCCGAAACGGGUGCGGGAUCAAAGUGAAGAAUCCGCGCAACUUAGGUUGUACCCCUUUAAUUUCUAUAAUCCCUUCAUGUUACAUCUUCUAUGUAGCAGCCGCAGAAUUCAAUCAACGAUAUGGAGUUCAAAAGCUUUUUCAUAUUGAGAAGGAUGUAUGAAACAAAAGAUUUACUAACCCUCUUCUUGCAAAGCUGUCGGGACUGAAGUAGUGUAAUGAAUGAGUCACUUAAAAUAUUGAAAGCACGUAAGAACUUAAAUACAAACUUUGUUAAACGUAAUCCCAAAGAAAUCAAUUACAAUGAUAUAACAAAAACCACUUCUAUGCAACUAUCAUAACUAAUAUGUAUGUUGAGCAAAUACAAAGUAUUUUUAGAUUUGAGGGAGUUUCGCUUAAUCGACAUAAACCAUGUGUGCAACAUGAAGUCCUGUAACGCCCCAUAAAAACCGUGCAUGUAUUACAAUGACAAGCAUUAAGAGUAAGAAACUUGAAAUUUAUUCUAAGUGUAACAAGGACUUAGAGUCAUUUUAGCUGGCAAUCUUCGGGAUACAACUUUUCAACCUUCCCGACAUCCGUUUUUGGAUUUUCUUGUUGCGUUGCGAUGGGGCAAGGUUAUAGUACGUCUCGGAGGAGUUUCGGAAUUUUUAGACGAGCCUAAGGUCGUGUUUGGGUUGGUAAAACAGUAGCUCUCCGCGAUAAGGGGGCGUCGCCCAGCUUAGAGAGCCUCUCUAAGCAAGGUGCUGCCCUAGUUAGGGAGCCUCUCAGAGCAGGGCGCCGCCCUGCCAGUCCCGGGGGUUACCCAUUUUUCAGCUUCCAGCCUCCGAGCGUUUGAGAGUGUUUUGGUCAUUUCCCCCUACUCUAUCAACUUAAACACGGGAUUUAAUCCCUCAAACACCAACAUAUCAUCACAUUCAUCAAAUUAUCCCAAGAAUACUCCCUAGAGUUUCAAAUAAAAAUCCAAGCAACUUAAGAUUCAACCGUGAGUUUUUGAAAUAAAUUUCAUAUUUGAAAUCCCCAGAACGUAGGCUUCAAGAAGCACCUAUCAUCUUCGCAUAUAGAGGUACGUGGGGUUAUCUCAAAAAUCUCAUGGGCUUUAAAAUUCAUGUUUUCAAAAUGGGGGUUUUGAAAUUACGAAUAUGAUUAUGUUUUAAAUGUUUUAUGAUAUUGAUUUGGUUUUUAGGCCUAUUCCCGAAGUGAUUUGAUAUAUGAUAUACGUAUAUGUAUGUAUUUUGAAAAGAUGUGAACUUGAGAGCAUGAAUUAUACGAAAUCCCUCUCUUGAUAUGAUUUUGUUUUAUAUUUUCAUAGGAUGUGAACUAUUUGAAAUCAUAUUGAAAGGCAUGACAUGAAAUGUUUUGAACAUUGUUAUGAUUUGGGCAUGAUUUUGACUUACCACGAGAGAUACAUGAUGAAUAUAAUGGUUGCAUGAAAGAAUGAUAUGAUUUGAUGGCUUGCAAGUCAGGUAUGACGAUACCCUACAGAAUAUGAUAUGUGAUUGAAGUAAAUGAAGUUUGAAUGCAUUGAUUUUACAUGAGAUAGGUGGAUGCCCGAAGAAGGCGUUUGAGUGUAAGGGCUCAUCGCUGGAAACCGUGUUUGCUGACAUGGGAAUUUGGUACCAGGCUAAGUGAUCUUGUGUACUUGACUUUAUGUCAUUCCCAAAUUGGGACUAUGGGUAGGAGCCCGGGCUAAGUGAUCUUGGGCACUACCAUUGGGUCGAGACACCAUACUGUGUGAUCUUGUGUGUCUUCCCCUCACUUAUACUCUAAUCUCGGCGACAACCGAGGUUUGACAGUUGGUGUAAAUUAUGUAGGGUAUUCCACCUAGCUCAGUUGCAUUACAUUGUUGAUGAAAACUAUUACAUUAUGCCCAUGUGUUUUCAAAUGAUUUAAUAUGAAACUGCUUUUAUAAUGGCUCUCACCAAUAUUUGGUAAAAGUAUUAUGUUUUGUUUUGAUUUCUCUGCGUACUAGUACUUUUGUAUUGACCCCCUUCCCUCCCAGGUUUGGAGGUACAGUCUAGGGAUCCAGAUAACCAGUAGAUUUCUCCCGACAGAUCACAGAAUCAAGUGGUGAGCCUUCUAUAUUUCGAAAGGCCUGAUGUCUGCUAUUUCAUUUAUCAUUUAUUAGUUUUGGGUCUACUGGGGGCCUUGUCCCUGUUUUCAGAUAGACAUUUCACAGACGGUUUUCCAGAUGUUGACAGAGAUUGUGGGACACUAUUUCCCAUUGUUGAUUUUAUGUGAUUUUGACCAUGUUUCCGUAAUACUGUUUAUCUUCCGCAUUUCUCUUAUCAUAUAAAUGAUGUGCGGGACACUAUUUCCCAUUGUUGAUUUUAUGUGAUUUUGAUCAUGUUUCCGUAAUACUGUUUAUCUUCCUCAUUUCUCUUAUCAUAUAAAUGAUAUGCAUGAUCACCAGACAGAUAGGGGUGUUUCGGGCCUUUAUGGUUCGGAAUACUCAUCACGGCCAGGGCCCAGGUUCGGGUCGUGACAAGUCCAAUGUCUUGCCCGCGUUGAGAAGAGCCGUUCAACACCUUGCAUUAAAGGGCAUAUGUCACGACUAGAGCCAAGGCCCUGGCUGCGAUGGGCAUCCCGAACCACGAAGGUCCGAGAGACCCCUGUAACGGCCCAACCCACUAGUGAUAUUGUCCGCUUUGGGCUCAGGCCCACACGGAUUUAAAACGCGUCACUAGAAAGUAAUGCUUGCUUACUCAUAUACCCAACAUCCCUCCUGUGUUUUGCCGAUGUGGGACUCUUUAUCCUAAAUUGGGAUGUUACAUACACGCCUUAAUGGACACCCCCUUAUGGACGCGAGGUUUGCCCCACCGAAUGGGAUUUUCCUUAUCCUAAGUUGGGAUGUUACAUACACCCCCUAAUGGACACCCUCUUAUGGACGCGAGGUUUGCCCCACCGAAUGGGAUUCGGCUACACUCAGUUUGAACUAUGACCCACAUUGACAGGGCUGACAUAAGAGCGACUCUGAUACCAUUCUUGUCACGGCUCGAACCGAGGUCCUGGCCGCAACGGGCAUCCCGAACCACGAAGGCCCGAGAGACCCUGUAACGGCCCAACCUACUAGUGAUAUUGUCCGCUUUGGGCCCAGACCUGCACAACUUUAAAACUCGUCACUGGGGAGUAAGGCUUGCUUACUCACAUACUCAGCAUCCCUCCUGUGUUUUGCCAAUGUGGAACUCCUUAUCCUAAGUUGGGGUGUUACAGCAUGUGACCUCGAACUCAUACCCAAGUCAAAGCUAAAUAAUCCCUCUCAAAACAUAAUAGUUGCUCAUAUCAUAAGUCUUAAAAAUAUUUUUCUUAAAUCAUACUAGUCUUCUAAAAUAUUGUAUCAAGAAACAUAUCAUUCUCUACGAGCUUUCUCUCUAUAAUUCGGUAUAAAUUGCUUUUAUUUUUCAAGAUACGAUAACUUCUUUUCACUUUUCACUUUUCAAGUCAUGGUAUAAUACAUAAGGGGUUUCACAAUUUUUUUCAUAAAUGGACUUCUUGUUAAACUUAUUGGAGCAUGAAAUCAAUUUUCAAUACAAAUUCCCAAAUCAUAAACUUUAUGUGAAAACUAACUCUUGGUUAUGGAAAUUAAAUGUAAGUUCAAGAACUACCUUAACACGGGAAAUAAUAUACAAUGCUGAAAGCAAAUAAAAGAAAAUUCUAACAAAUUACCUCAAGAAGGACACUUAGAAUAUUUGAAUCUUUAAACCCUAACUUGAAAUUAUGACUUAAUUUGUG